UACGUAGGGUCCAAGCGUUAUCCGGAAUUACUGGGCGUAAAGAGUUGCGUAGGUGGCAUAGUAAGCGAAUAGUGAAAUGAUGAGGCUCAACCUUAUGUCCAUUAUUUGAACUGCUAAGCUAGAGAAUGAGAGAGGUCACUGGAAUUCCCUGUGUAGGAGUGAAAUCCGUAGAUAUAGGGAGGAACACCGAUGGCGUAGGCAGGUGACUGGCUCAUUUCUGACACUAAGGCACGAAAGCGUGGGGAGCAAACGGG
rnacentral:rRNA from 1 species